rnacentral:rRNA from 1 species
UCAGGCCUAACACAUGCAAGUCGAGCGGAUGACGGGAGCUUGCUCCUUGAUUCAGCGGCGGACGGGUGAGUAAUGCCUAGGAAUCUGCCUGGUAGUGGGGGACAACGUUUCGAAAGGAACGCUAAUACCGCAUACGUCCUACGGGAGAAAGCAGGGGACCUUCGGGCCUUGCGCUAUCAGAUGAGCCUAGGUCGGAUUAGCUAGUAGGUGAGGUAAUGGCUCACCUAGGCGACGAUCCGUAACUGGUCUGAGAGGAUGAUCAGUCACACUGGAACUGAGACACGGUCCAGACUCCUACGGGAGGCAGCAGUGGGGAAUAUUGGACAAUGGGCGAAAGCCUGAUCCAGCCAGGCCGCGUGUGUGAAGAAGGUCUUCGGAUUGUAAAGCAAUGAAGUUGGGAGGAAGGGCAGUAAGCUAAUACC